UCCGUAGGCGGGUCAUUAAGUCAGAGGUGAAAUCCCACAGCUUAACUGUGGAACUGCCUUAGAUACUGAUGAUCUUGAGUUUUAGUGAAGUAGAUAGAAUGUGUAGUGUAGCGGUGAAAUGCAUAGAUAUUACACAGAAUACCGAUUGCGAAGGCAGUCUACUAACUAACAACUGACGCUAAUGGACGAAAGCGUGGGGAGCGAACAGGAUUAGAUACCCUGGUAGUC
rnacentral:rRNA from 1 species